AGAGGAAGUAAAAGUCGUAACAAGGUUUCCGUAGGUGAACCUGCGGAAGGAUCAUUAGAGACGGGCCCGCGGCACCGGCGACACCCGCCGGUAUCGCGCGCGCCUCAUCCGACCCCGUGGCCGCGUGCGCUCGGCGACCAGCUCGCCGGCCGCCCGCGCGCCGCGACCCCCCGACCGAGCGUCGACCGAAAGAUGGUUACACCGUCGAAAGACCGUCCGCGGCCCACGGGCCGUGGAAAAAUUUCGACGAAAACAAAAAAAAAAAAAAAACACCCGACCCCGAACGGCGGAUCACUUGGCUCGUGGAUCGAUGAAGACCGCAGCUAUCUGCGCGUCGUCGUGUAAUCCGCAGGUUAUACGAACAUCGACCAGU
rnacentral:rRNA from 1 species